AGACAUAGAGCGGUAAGACCGCUGUGGGUUGUCCAUGGUGUUCCCUUCCGGAGGUUGGCAAAGCCGUGGCGAACCAAGCCCACAGGGCACGCUCUUUUU
rnacentral:sRNA from 12 species